rnacentral:rRNA from 1 species
CACGUAGGAGGCGAGCGUUGUCCGGAAUCAUUGGGCGUAAAGAGCGCGCAGGCGGCUUGGCAAGUCGGGUGUGAAAUCCCGGGGCUCAACCCCGUGACUGCAUCCGAUACUGUCAGGCUAGAGGUAGGUAGGGGAGAUCGGAAUUCCUGGUGUAGCGGUGAAAUGCGCAGAUAUCAGGAGGAACACCAAUGGCGAAGGCAGCUCGCUGGGACGGUACUGACGCUGAGGCGCGAAAGCGUGGGGAGCAAACAGG